CCCUCAGACGUUCUGGGCCGCACGCGCGCUACACUGACGAAGGCAACGAGCUUUCCUUUACCGAAAGGUACGGGUAAUCUUUUGAAACUUCGUCGUGCUGGGGAUAGAUCCUUGCAAUUAUUGAUCUUAAACGAGGAAUUCCUAGUAAGCGCAAGUCAUCAACUUGCGUUGAUUACGUCCCUGCCCUUUGUACACACCGCCCGUCGCUACUACCGAUUGAAUGGUUUAGUGAGGCCUUCGGAUCCGCGACUCGUUUUGUGGAGAAGUUGGACAAACUCAGUCAUUUAGAGGAAGUAAAAGUCGUAACA
rnacentral:rRNA from 1 species